rnacentral:rRNA from 1 species
CGACCGGCGCACGGGUGAGUAACACGUAUCCAACCUGCCGUCUACUCUUGGCCAGCCUUCUGAAAGGAAGAUUAAUCCAGGAUGGGAUCAUGAGUUCACAUGUCCGCAUGAUUAAAGGUAUUUUCCGGUAGACGAUGGGGAUGCGUUCCAUUAGAUAGUAGGCGGGGUAACGGCCCACCUAGUCAACGAUGGAUAGGGGUUCUGAGAGGAAGGUCCCCCACAUUGGAACCGAGACACGGUCCAA